UACGGGGGGGGCAAGCGUUGUUCGGAAUUACUGGGCGUAAAGGGCUCGUAGGCGGCCAACUAAGUCAGACGUGAAAUCCCUCGGCUUAACCGGGGAACUGCGUCUGAUACUGGAUGGCUUGAAUCCGGGAGAGGGAUGCGGAAUUCCAGGUGUAGCGGUGAAAUGCGUAGAGAUGUGGAGGAACACCAGUGGCGAAGGCGGCUUUCUGGUCUGUAACUGACGCUGAGGCGCGAAAGCGUGGGGAGCAAACAGG
rnacentral:rRNA from 1 species